GCCCAGCCACUUAUCACUUAUUUUGUUUUGUUAUUACAGCUUCAUGAACCUUCUGAUGAGUCAAGGGGUUAAGUUAGAAAUGUAGUUAGCAAAGAUCAUAUACUCUGAUUAGAGCUUAACAAGGAAAUCAGUUGAUAUCAGGUGGGGAUAACUGAAACAAGGCUGGGAAUGACAGGUGAUAAUAUGAAGUGUUGUAAGAGUGCAGGAGCCAUAAAUACCACUGACUUCUAAGAAUGAGAAGGGAUUUGGACUGUGACCUGCAAGGCAAAGAGCCCUGCCAACUUGACACGGAUGAAGAGUUUACCAUGAAGAAGACAUCUUACUUCCUUCCCAGAAGCCCACUGAAGGAGAACAAUUGCACAGGCAUAAUGAAUAUUCAGCUAAUUAUAAUACCAGUCAAGUGAAGUAACUUUUAUUUAAUUUGGGACAACCAAUAUCCAUCAACAAAACAAGGGAAACUACUGGCCUUGAACUGUGUCUCAAGAUGCAGUAAAGUUAUGAGCAGCAUCCAUAAAUUGCCAAGAAGGUUGUGUGUACUUAUCCCAUGAAUAUCCAGCUUCAGUAAGACCUGCUGUGCCCACCCUGAGGCAGUUGCAAAUUGUUGUCAUAUUGUUUCUUCAAAUGAAGUUAAACUAUGACUGUAAAUUAGAUUAUGCAAUUCUGAAUGGGUAGCGGCAUCUAUGCUGACAGACUUGAGUAUCUAAAAGCAAAAAGGGUAUGUUUCUGGAAAGGGAGUAAGAGCCUUUAAGGAGUUAUAGCUUUUAACACAAACUUAUAAAGUAACUUUUUUUUUUUUUCAAUUUUUUCCCAAACAUUUUAUUUCUAAAUUUAAGUAGGGUCUAAGUCAAUUCUACUCCAAUAUUAAUUUAUAAUUUAAGAAUUGUAAAAUAUCUUUUCUCCUUUCGGUAUACUAUUUUGAGAAGAAACAUUCAGGAAAGAAAUUUGAAAGGCAUCAUUUGUGUAUUACAGUAAGCAUUCUAAACAAAUUAAUAUAUUUUUGGAUCUUUCUUUUUUUCCAGUUUUGCUUUCUAACACAAAAAAACCUCAUUUAACUAAACUCCCAGCUUCAUAUCAUCAGUGAACUUGCUGAGGAGACAUCCUGAUUCUUCUGCCAAGUCUUUUCCUAGGAAGCUAACUGUGCUGUAGCCAAUUAUCUCCACCUAGAAUGUGCUCACAAAUCAAGAGUUGAUACCAUUUUGCCUAUACCUCAUAGAUAGGUGGAAUUGUUUAACUACCUCUACAUAUCUUGUUUUUGGAGUGUGCUCCAAGAGAUGUAGUUUCCUGUAAUGGUCACGUGGUUGGUUCAAAUGAAAACAUGGUGAGAAGUGUAGUCUCACUUGGAAUGGUCUCUGCAAGUCUCUCUUCUGCUGGCUUAAAACAGUCACACAACAAGGAAUAUAUCCAGGUUCAAAGUACUUCAUAUGAUUUGAAGCAGCAUAUGGACUGUUGAUCUGGUGUCAACAAAGGAAUUGUCAUUUUCACUGGAUUACUAGGUACACUGAUGGAGUAAAGAAGAAUACUUAUUGUAAAACAUUUUAAUUAAAAAUAUAAAAAAGUAGACGGAUACUGAAU
rnacentral:lncRNA from 1 species